AUAUAGCCAAAGCAGAUAUAGAAAUUAAAGCAAUACUAACAUUGGAAAGUGCCAUAUUUUUCUGUAUAAUUUCUACAUUUUCCUUGUUUUCAUCUUCUACUGUUUCUUCGCCUUUUUC
rnacentral:ribozyme from 14 species